UACACUCCUGCGGGAGGCAGCAGUGGGGAAUUUUGGACAAUGGGCGAAAGCCUGAUCCAGCAAUGCCGCGUGAGUGAAGAAGGCCUUCGGGUUGUAAAGCUCUUUUGUCAGGGAAGAAACGGUGAAAGCUAAUAUCUUUUGCUAAUGACGGUACCUGAAGAAUAAGCACCGGCUAACUACGUGCCAGCAGCCGCGGUAAUACGUAGGGUGCAAGCGUUAAUCGGAAUUACUGGGCGUAAAGCGUGCGCAGGCGGUUUUGUAAGUCUGAUGUGAAAUCCCCGGGCUCAACCUGGGAAUUGCAUUGGAGACUGCAAGGCUAGAAUCUGGCAGAGGGGGGUAGAAUUCCACGUGUAGCAGUGAAAUGCGUAGAUAUGUGGAGGAACACCGAUGGCGAAGGCAGCCCCCUGGGUCAAGAUUGACGCUCAUGCACGAAAGCGUGGGGAGCAAACAGGAUUAGAAACCUUGUAGUCCCA
rnacentral:rRNA from 1 species